rnacentral:rRNA from 1 species
GACGAACGCUGGCGGCGUGCCUAACACAUGCAAGUCGAGCGGGGAUUUAAGUGGAAGUUCUUCGGAAUGGAGAUUUAAAUUCUAGCGGCGGACGGGUGAGUAACGCGUGAACAAUCUGUCCCGGACAGGGGGAUAACACUUGGAAACAGGUGCUAAUACCGCAUAAGACCACGGCCUCGCAUGGGGCUGAGGUAAAAGGAGCAAUCCGGUUCGGGGUGAGUUCGCGUCCGAUUAGCUAGUUGGUGAGGUAACGGCCCACCAAGGCGACGAUCGGUAGCCGGCCUGAGAGGGUGAACGGCCACAUUGGAACUGAGAGACGGUCCAAACUCCUACGGGAGGCGGCAGUGGGGAAUAUUGGGCAAUGGGCGAAAGCCUGACCCAGCAACGCCGCGUGAGGGAAGAAGGUUUUCGGAGUGUAAACCUCUGUCCUAUGGGACGAAGGAAGUGACGGUACCAUAGGAGGAAGCCCCGGCUAACUACGUG